rnacentral:lncRNA from 1 species
UUUGAGAUUUAUUUUAUUUUUAUUUAUUUACUUUUGCAAGCGACCCAUUCAGUAUUUUGAGAUUUAUUUUAUUUUUAUUUAUUUACUUUUGCCAGCGACCCAUUCAGUAUUGUCCAGGCAAGCUGGCCUCAUACUCGAUACUGAGUUUAAGGCAAUCCUCCUGUCUCAGCUUCCCUGGUGACAAGAUUAUAGACAUUCAACACAGCUGUCUUACAUUUUGUGUCUUAAGUUGAACUUUUAACCUCUGAUUUAUAAAGAACUUAAACGGCAACAAUAUUACUCCUGGAUAUACCUCUUUGCCCUCUAAAAUCUCUACUUGCUACAAUCAACAGGUAUCCUUUUUUAAAGACUUGAUGGUAACAUCUAAUCUAUUUAGUAAAAUAACUGAUAAAUAUAUAACACUCCAGUUGUUAGGUAUCACACCAAAUAUGGGUUUUUACUUUCUCCAAGUUUACUUAUUUCUCUAAAUCCCUCGUGUGGAAGGGACAGGGCAGUAGUUCAGAUGAAGACUAAGUUGUAGACUUUAGACACAUAGCUGACUUAGCUUUAGGAGUAGAGACAGGCCAUCCUGGGCUACACAAAGAGCAGAGUGGGCUAUGAGACUGUCUCACAAGCACAGACAAGGCAAAAUCCAAGCCUCUAAAAGGAGACUUUAUGAUAGCCUUUAUAUUUGAAAAAUAAGAUAAUGGUCCUCUAAUGUGCUGCACAGAAAGCUUUCAGUUAGAACAAAUAGUGUAACAGACACUACAGACAUACAAAAUACUGGAACUUUAGUGGGCUUUGUUAUUUAUUUAGUUUUGUUUUCUCUGUGGCUCAUUUAAGACAGUGCCCAGGUAGAGUACACAGAAAUGUAGACUUAAGUCAUGUUUGGAAUUUCAUUAGUCUAUUACUGAUCUUAGGUUUUUGAUGUCAGGACUGCCCAACCUCCUGCCUUGGCCACAUAGGUUCCAGGAUAGCUAAGAAUGGCAACCCAGCAGCAUGUCUGUAGAUGACAGUGUCUUGUCACAGUGUCAGCUGGAUGUGGUGGCACCUGACUUUAAUUCCAGCACUUGAGAGGCAGAGGAAGUUUCCGAGUUCUAGGCCAGCUUGGAACUACAUAGAGACCCAACCCCACCCGUCAUCCCCCAACAUACUCCCCCUAAAGGUUGAACACUCUGGACCUGAUUCUGUGAGUCUUCGGUAUUUCCUCUGUGGGUGUGUGGAGUAGAAAUAUAAGUUGUGAUUUCACAUAGAUACUUUGAAUUUGUAAUGAGACCCAUAGUGUUUAAUUAGAAAUUAGCUUUAGUGUGUCAGGAGCUAGCUAGGUAAUCAUAAUGAGUACCUGAUUGUAGAUGCUAAGAAGGUGGGUGGCCCAUUACCAGUUUUGUCCUGAGUAGAAAAACUCCAAAAGAGUUGGCCAUGUACUCAAUUCUUUUUUAAAGCUUUGUGGGCGUUUGGCAGCUGAAGUGGACUCGUGGAUGAGGCUGGUAGUGUGUCCUAUUGAGCUGAGCUGCAGUGUGCUACCAGCAAUUCCAAGAAAAAUGUCUGUUGCCUGCCUUCACACCUCUGAGAUUGAAUUGCUUCUGUAUAACUGCCAUUUACUCUAAUAGUGAAAAGUUACUUUAAAAGUUAAUUUCAGAUUGAAAUGUCUAGUGAAGGCACACUAAGGGGCAGAUUUUAAAAGUCUUAAGAAUUUCUAUCGAUUACUUUCAGCAGAUGAGUUGCUUAUUUGUAGAGUGGAGCUAUUUAUUUAUUUAUUUAUUUAUUUGAGACAGGAUCUCACUAUGUAGUCCUGGCUUGCCUGGAUCUCCUAGAGAUCCAGUUGCCUUUGUUCGCCUCCUAAGUUUUGGGAGUAAAGGCUUGUGUCACUGUGCCCAACCUAGUGGGGUCUUUUUUUUUUUUUUUUUUUCAAUGAAGUUAGAAUUCAAAGUCAGUGUGUAACGUGUAAAGAUUAUGUUGAGAGCAUAGUUUAGUAGUGGGAGUUGUGCUCAGUGUGCAGGGACCAGGACUUAGUCCCCAGCACUUUCAAGUAACCAAUAAGUUCUGUGUUAGUGUUGAAACAGAUUGCAAUUUCUUUCCUUGAACUAGAUUAGUUUAUGGGGCAUUUCUGGGCCAGUUUGACCAACAGACAAAAAAGUUCAGUAGCUUCUGUGCUUCAUCUUAACAGAAACAAAAGAUUGAUUUCAAAUUAGUGUUCAUAAGAUAGAUUUUAUAAAAUAACCUCAUUUAUUGAAGCAGCAAGAUAAUCUCUGAAGAGAGGAGUCAGAUUUGCCAGGUCUGGAGAGAUGGAGAGCGUUGGUUUCAGUUUGAUUCCCAGACCCGCAAGGUGGGUGGCUCACAUCAAGGUGUAGCUCCAAUCCUAGCAGAUGUGGUGCCCUCUUCUGGCUUCGGUGGGCACUGCAUGCAGGCGGUACACAGACUGUUUAGCAAUGUAUUAAGUCCCAGUAAAGACUCAGAGGUUAAGACCAUUUCAGAAGUCCUGAGUUCAGUUCCCAUCGACUACGUGGUGGUUCACAACCGUCUUCUGAUGGAUGGGAUCUGAUGCCCUCUUCUGUCGUGCAGGAGGCAUUAGGAAAUUGGUUAGGUGGACAUAAAGGCGAAGAGGAAAUGUUAGCAGUAGUUCUGAGUUCUAAGAAGAGGGUCCAUGCAGCUGGUGCUAGGUGGUGUAGAGGUCAGCUGCUAGUUUAUAGGACAUGUGAUGGCCAGUUCUGGGAAUACCCAAAGAAGCUGGUGACUAGAGCCAGUCACUGCCCCCUCAGCCGGGGACUGACUUAGAGUUUCAACUUAACAGCGACCCAGAGGGCCCAUUUUCCUGUUUCCAAAUUCCAUUUUACUAACAAACCCCACUGACAGGAACCAUGAGAUAUAGGUGAAUGAUUUCUUCUGUCAUCAUGGACUAUUUUAGGAGGGUGGUGUUAGAAUUGAGACAGUGAAUAAAGACCUGCACAAGUGGUAACAUAUGAUACAUUUAAUAGAAACCAUGUCCUUCCCCUUCCAAAAAACAUUCUUUUAUAUCUGUGUGCCAGACCAUUUGGUUAGGACAUAGAAUU